GCUUAAUCUGGCUCCACAAAGUGACGAACAAGGAGUUCCUGUUUGGCUGUGAUAGAGGCUGCUCACUGAAGUCAUAAAUAUCUGUGAGGACCAUUUCACUUGGAUCCCUAGAAGGGUACAGCUCAGAGAUCAAAAUUCUAAAGAUGACAGUCUGCGGCACAUGGAAGGAAGCAGUUUCAUUAUCAGACUUCAGUGACAAUCCAAACAAAUGAAGCUAA